CCGAGUUUACAAACUCCCAACCCUAUGUGAACCAUACCUAUCGUUGCUUCGGCGGGCUUAGCCCCCGCGCCCCCCCGGGGCGCCGGGAAACAGGCGCCCGCCGGAGACCCAAACUCAAUGUUUUUCAUGCAGUAUUAUCUGAGUGGCAAACGCAAAAAUAAAUCA
rnacentral:misc_RNA from 1 species